UGGUGGCGUGCCUAAUACAUGCAAGUCGAGCGAACCAAUAAGAAGCUUGCUUUUUGUUGGUUAGCGGCGGACGGGUGAGUAACACGUGGAUAACCUACCUAUAAGACUGGGAUAACUUCGGGAAACCGGAGCUAAUACCGGAUAAUAUAUUGAACCGCAUGGUUCAAUAGUGAAAGACGGUUUUGCUGUCACUUAUAGAUGGAUCCGCGCCGCAUUAGCUAGUUGGU
rnacentral:rRNA from 1 species